rnacentral:lncRNA from 1 species
GUCCUCACUAGGCUCCCCGGGGGCAGGGCGCGGUAGGGGAAGGUACCCUCUCUGUGGGGCAUUUGCUCUGCUGGGAGAGGCUAGUUGUCCUCCUGAGACCUCCAAUUCACGGGCUGCAGGCGGCAGCUCCUGUAGGAGGGGCUUUGUGGGGAAACCCUCUCUUUGCAACUUUUGCUCAGGGCUGGGCAGGGCUGGCUGUCAGACUCUGCCCAGGCGGGUCCCCAUCACUUUGCUGGCUUUCUCUUGGUGCCCCUGGGGCCAGGGGCCAGGGUUGGACCCCACAAUCUCCUGGGCUACAGGAAGUGCUGUUUAGGAAAGGGUGGAGCCUGCCCCCUUUACUGGGGGGCUUAGUGUAGAGCUUGGUGGCUGGACAAGGUCCCACCCCUCAGCCCCCUUGGGAUCAGUAUCUGGUGGGGUGGCGGGGGGCGGGGCACCACCUCCUUCUAUUCUUUGCCUAAUUCUGGGAAAGGCUGGUUGACUGGGCCCAGCCCCCCACGCCCCUUGGUGGAGGACUCAGGUGGGGAGGGGCAUCGGCCCAGCUGCUCCUGUGAGGAAGCGGCGCUCCUUAACUGUUAGAGGAGUGGUUACAGUUAAAAGAGAUCAAUCUGCAGCGCCUCCCUCCUCCCAGUCGGCUGUCUACCUAGAACAACAUUUUCUUGGAGCUUUUUGUCUUUGUGCUCCUUGGUGGUCCUAGGUUGGAGGGCCAGGGUGUUUAGGAUGCAAAAGUAAACAGCAUCCUUCCUCUUCCCUGGAAUUCUGAGGUCCCUAGCCGCUACACCUUCUAAUCUCCACAUUUCAGAGCCUUCUGUGGGUUGCUUUCUGUUUUAUGUCCAGGAGUUUUUGUUCUUUUUUUUUUUUUUUUUUUUUGAGACGGAGUCUCGCCCUGUCCCCCAGGCUGGAGUGCAGUGACGCGAUCACUGCAAGCUCCGCCUCCCGGGUUCCCGCCAUUCUCCUGCCUCAGCCUCCCCGGUAGCUGGGACCACAGGCGCCCGCCGCCACGCCCGGCUAUUUUUUUGUAUAUUUUAGUAGAGACGGGGUUUCACCGUGUUAGCCAGGAUGGUCUCUAUCUCCUGACCUCGUGAUCCGCCCACCUCGGCCCCCCAAAGUGCUGGGAUUACAGGCGUGAGCCACCGCGACCGGCCGGAAUUUUUUUCUUAUUAGUGGGAGAAGAGGAGGAGAGUGAGCUUUUAUUUUCUUCACCUUAACUGGAAGCCUGGUUGAGAUGAGAAGCUUCUUACCUUAACAAUACCCAGUUGACAGGAGAAAAGAAGGCAGCUCAACCUGGCUAAGCAACGCGCUCAAAGUCCCUGUGGUGAUGAUGGGCUGGGAUUCCAUGCCACCUCUAUCCAGUGUGAAAACCCAGUCCUUUAAAAUGCAUUGUGCUUUUUUACUGCUUAAUGUUUACGGAAGUGUGUUUUGCCUACAUCUAGAAUCAAAUUAAAAUCAAAUUAGAAGGGAUGCUUACAAUUUUGGGAGGAUUAAUGUUUUGAAGAUAACAUAUCUGUCUUACCUCUAAGUUUUAUGGGGAAAGGCAACAUUCAUCUCAUAAGUUUGCAGGGUUUUUAUUCAGAAAAACAUCUUUGUAUAUCUUGAUUGAAAAAGACAUGAACUUUUGGGCACAGUCUAGGUUGAGUAAGUCACUGUGAUGAGCUGAACUGCACUCCCCUCCACCAAUUUAUGUAUUGAAGCCCUAAUUCCCCAGUACUUUAGAGUGUGAAUAUAUUUGGAGACAAGGUCUUUAAAGAGAUAAUUAAGGUAAAAUGAGGUUGUUAGGGUGGACCCUCAUCCAAUACGACUGGUAUCCUUGUUAAGAGGAGAUGAGGACACAGACAUGUACAGAGGAAAGACCAUGUGAAAACGCAGGGAGAAGACACCAUCUGCAAGCCAGGAUGAGGGGUCUCAGAAGAAAUCAACCCUGCCAACACCUGAGCUCACACUUCCAGCCUCCAGAACUGGAGAACACCCAAGGAAUGGGACGGUGCUGUCAAGAGGACAUGGAGAAGAAAACUCUUGAACCAAGGAGGACUUAGAAACACGGAGGAGGACCUGGAUGUGCCCCCAUUUAUGAUGGCGCUAGAGCCAGUGGCUUCUCUCUUGCUCGCUCUAGCUGUCUUUUCUUAAGCUCUGGGAAAGUGGUAUUUAGCUCUCAAUUUCCAGGGCUCUCAUUCUAUAUUUUGCCCCAGGGUUGUCACUAAAUCCAGUUUGGUCAGCAUUAGGUAAGUAGCUCUUUGGGUGACUGAGUGGGGUGGAGUGAUGUCCAAUAAACAUCAAGGCAUAAUGGGCAGAGCCACAGGAACCAGGACAUGGCAUGGAGCGAGCCGUGGCUGGUCCAGAGCAGGUGCAGGUUUGUGGUGGGGAGGUGUGUAUGUGCAGUGCUCAGCUUGCCACUACGAAAGCUCUUCACUUGAGCUACCAUGUGCAGACAUUGAAGAAAGGAGAGCUGAAAGACAUAGGGAGCAUCUGGCUUAUACCUAUGAACUUAUAAUUCCAUACAAUUUUUAUUUUACUUUUAAACCAACACCCCUCCCCUUUCUAAGAACCACUCUUGGUUAUCAAUGUGCUGGUUGUUAAUAUGAACCUUCUUCCAAUAACUGCAUGUAAUUAAAAAUAAUGAUCCAUUUCUUCAUGGAUGCUCUGUGUUAAAAUGUUAACAAAUUUCCCGUCAAAAUUUCUCCCCCUCCUACUUUUGCCUGAAAGAGAGAAAUUUCACAUAUUUUGGAACCUACGAAGGCUUUCCUUUUUUGGUAUCUGGAGUUUAGUCUUCCAUUGGCAAAAUCAUCUUAGUUAUUCUAGGACUAUCGCAUCUUCAAUUUUAGCCAUGGAGCUCAGCUUAGACGGUGCUUCCCAGAUUGUGGUGGUCCUAUCACUAGUGUCGUGUAAAGUCAUUUUAUAUGGGAAAAUAAAAACUAAAAUUUUGGUGAUGACUCACUUAUUUUAAAUGUUUUAAAAUUAUUUUCAAUACAUCAAAAUUAUUAUUUCAUGAAUUGCAGUUUAGCUAAGUUUAAGAAUCAAUGAAUUGAAUAAAAAAUUAAAUAAAAACAGUACAGGUGUAAAGAGCAAAUACAAUUUUAAAAUAAGAGACUGACUUCUCCCUGUUGAAAAUAAGAAAAAUAAAGAAAGAGAUACCUCCUUCCUUUUCUUAGAGCACUUUAGAGAUUUCCUAAUUGUAAUUGUUUUUCUCUGUCUCUUUGAAAUGUAUGUAAAUCUCUUUAAAAGCUAAAGAAGUCUUUUCCAGCUUUAUGACCAGGAAUGUCUUUUCUUAUGAACCUGGGACUCAUCCUUUUGGAAUAUCGUUUACAAGGAAGAUGGCUGCCCUCUCUCCCAGCUUCUGUGAAAAGAAUGCACCUGCCUGAGGGUGGGGACCAUAUCUGUUUUGUUCACCUCAACAAUCCCGGUAUCUGCAAGAG